AAGAGACAGCGCCGCCGGCCGUGGGGAGCGGACGCAGUGAUUUGCUCCCCCUCGUGCAGCAACCCCCACACCCAGCACCAGGAGCCUGUUCCUCUCACGCCCUCACCUGGCUGAGCCGCAGUAGUUCUUCAGUGGCAAGCUUUAUGUCCUGACCCAGCUAAAGCUGCCAGUUGAAGAACUGUUGCCCUCUGCCCCUGGCUUCGAGGAGGAGGAGGAGCUGCUUUCCCCAUCAUCUGGAAGGUGACAGAAAUGGGCUGGGAAGGUCCGAACAGCAGGGUGGAUGAUACGUUUUGGGCAAGUUGGAGAGCCUUUGCCCAGAUUGGCCCAGCAAGGAGCGGUUUUAGAUUAGAGACACUGGCUGGAUUGAGGAGUAGAAGGCUCAAACAACCCAAGCGGCUACAGGAAGCUGUGUCUGUUCGAUUUGGUGGGAGGAGAUGUGCAGGGAGCUGUAUCUUGUCCUCCGCUUGUGAAAAACUCAAGGAUGUGGAGAAGAGUAGACCGUGGAACCCUGCUCUUCUGCAGCCAAGCUGAGGGGCAGGAUGCGUGUGGGACAGUGGUAGAGAAGCAGGGGAUAGACUCAUAGG
rnacentral:lncRNA from 1 species